UUGCUAAAAACCUGUAAAAUAGCUUCUCUUUUAUAAAGCACAUAGAGUGGUUAAUUCAGGAUGAAAGCUCUGGGGAAUAGCAUUUCAUGCCUAUCUAGGAAAACCACUCCUACAGAUUUCAGUUUUAAAUGUAUACUUUUUGAGAGACCACUGAGAAUUUCUAACUCUCCAGAGAUUCUGGAGAAAUAAAAAAUAUUACUAAAUAUGUUGAGUUAAGGGAACAUGUUUUGCUCUUUUCAUAUUAGACUGUAAGAGUUGCAAGCCUUCAACUAGGGUCAAAAUUCUAUUUGGGUUAGAAACUUCCAAAAAAAUCUCAAAGGAAAAGAUAUCAGCUCGUAUAUUAUUAGAUGAAUAUUAAAGAAUAAAAGAAGAUGUAAAAGAAAUACAUUUUUCAGUCUGUGGUAAUCCCUUUCCUGUGUUUAGCAAAACGUUGCAAACAAAUCAGUAUAAAAAACAUACUAAGAAAAAGGCUGCUACAAACAGAGAGGGAAUUGUUGACAAUGUAAAUUAAUGAAAUGAGGAUAAAAAAUCAGGUAGUAACUGCCCUCCUUCUGUAUUCAAAAGUCUGCAUGUGGAAGAAAUAUUCUCUCCACCAUUUCACAACUGGCACCGGCCAAAUCCUAUGCCUAAACCAUAUCAAACGAAUUAGGGUAGCAAAGGUACAAAUAUGGUCAGACAAAAAGAUCUAACAUGUGACUGGGUUAUGUGAUGUUCUUUUAAUUAGCAGUCUUCCAAUAAGCCUUAGUUUUAAUUUCAUAAGCCUCAGAAUCCAUUUAGCUUUGGUGAAUUCACCUCCCCCUCGGUAUUUAACUACUUAACUAUGACUAAUUAAAAAAGAACUCAGUGUGUAUUGGUUUCAUCAACAGUGAUAAUUAAUUAAUCAUUGGCUCUACUUGAGUAUUUUUAUUAUGAAAAUGUAAGUAAUCAGUGCAGAGUUAGCUCUCAGUUUCAAAUUUCUGUAUGCUCACCUGAACACACUCAUAGAUGAAAUGCCCCAAGACAUCAAGGGACAGACGUCUCUCAGGCAUUCCCAACCCAGCAGGAAACCGACAGAACUCCGGACUGAGUCCUGCCCUCGCACCGGGACUGGAAUCUUGCUUGUCCUUUACAGCCCAGUCAUUCCCGAGCCUCCGGGAGCCCCAUGGGAGCGUGGAGUGCUGACUCCACAGCGCUGGUGAGUCCUCUUUCGUCUCUCCCAACACAGCAAUUCAUACCUCCCACUGACUUAGGAACGGGGCUGUUCUUUCUUCCAUGCCUGAACGUAGCCAUGGUCUCUCUAUUCAUACUGCAACUACAACGGAUAGGUGUAUGAAGUGAUGCUAAAACAC